rnacentral:rRNA from 1 species
ACCUGCCUGGUAGCGGGGGAUAACUAUUGGAAACGAUAGCUAAUACCGCAUAAUAGUAGAUGUUGCAUGACAUUUGCUUAAAAGGUGCAAUUGCAUCACUACCAGAUGGACCUGCGUUGUAUUAGCUAGUUGGUGGGGUAACGGCUCACCAAGGCGACGAUACAUAGCCGACCUGAGAGGGUGAUCGGCCACACUGGGACUGAGACACGGCCCAG